GCUGGUAGCGUAGUGGUUAGCGCUGCUGCCUUUGGCCCUGAAGGUUGUGGGUUUGAAUCCCAUUUCCGGCC
rnacentral:tRNA from 1 species